CAUCGAAACAUCGAUCCAGAAUCGAUUUGAUCUGAAAUAAAAAUAAUUAUUCUACAGCUCCAUUAUAGCUGUCGUCCAACUUUACAAUAACUAUUUUUCAGUUACACUACAGCUAAUUAUUAUGUGGGUGAAUAACCCACGAUCUCUAUACAAUUAACUAUUCUGUUAUAUUAAACUAACGGCCUAACAGAUUUCUAACGGUCUAAUAGAUUCUUAAUGGCUUAACAAACUCUCCUA
rnacentral:lncRNA from 1 species